rnacentral:lncRNA from 1 species
AAGAAACAUAGGAAAUUGAAGUCAGAAAUUUUUCCCAUUGUGAUAUAAAACUUGAAAAUAAUAAUUUGCUAUUGGGACCAACUAAGUCAAUUGAAACCCUGGUGACACCAACUAGCUAAAGGUCUUGAUAUAUUUUUUUCAUCUAUGACUGUUGUAACCAUAUUGAGUCAGAUUUAAUUAUAACAUUAGGGUGAGGAUAUUGAAUCUGUGAUUGCUAAUCUAUUUCAAGAUGCCAAUCUUCAUAUUAAAAGCACACAACAGUGGAUUCUCUUGUUAAAGUAGUUAAGUUUGACAGUGUGCCAGCCAUUUAUCAUAUGUCUGUUAUGUGUAGAGAAUAUCUUCAUAAGGCAUUAUUAAAAUUACUAUUAGGUACACUAGCAAAUAUUCCAGAAAGAAAUUUCCAUAAGCUGUUCUGAUAAAUUGUAUAUGAUUAUAGAACAAACAUACAGUUUUUAAAUUGGUUUCAAUUAUUUAGACAAACUAAGAGGAAGAAAAAUGAAAAGUAUUUAGAUCAGGAACAUCAUCCAACCUGGGAAGAAGUAGAAGGGCUGCAGCUAUUACAGUAUUACCACUUUAGAAGAGAAUCAAAAAUGUUGAAUUUUUAUUGUUAGGACAUGUAGAAGCCAGAGAUCUUGAGAUGUUUAGAACAGUUAUCUGUGUUGAUUCUUUUACAUGGCCAGGUACUAACAGCCACACUAUAUCAUACUAUUUCAUAUACUAAUUAUGUCAUAUCAAUCAUAUCAUACCAUGUCAUAUCAUUGUAUCAUCACAUUACAUGCCUCAAUGUACCAGGAUUUAUUCAGUACAUCAUCUCAUGACUUAGAUUGAAUUCAAAGCAUACAAAAAUUAAAGGCUAUGCCUAAAUUGGCACUGAACAGAAAAACAUGUGGAAGACAUCUUUGGUCCACUAUAAAAGAUGUGUCACUAAAACCAAUGUUGGAAUUCCAUAACGAAGAUAUUGUAUGUGUCAAUGCUGACAAAGAAAAAUCAAAUAGAAAGAAGGAGGCAAGUACAUCUAUGCUCAAUUGAAAGAGGGCUCUGGAGAGAAGAAUGAUUUUGGAGUUAAAAAGAA